ACGCCGAUGGUGAAACGGUUAUCAUGCUUGCCUUCCAUUGCAGGAAAUUGAAUAUCUUUAGCAAGCGGUAAGGGUUCGACUCCCAUUCGGCGUA